GAGAAAUGAUGAAAAAGAAUAGUGUUCUCCAAGAAACACACAUAUUUAUCAUAAAAGAAUUUUAUGUUAAUUGCUACUGAUUAAAUAGCUAAAAAAGCACAUUAGAAAUUACAAUCAUUCAUACAUACGUAAUUAUGUCAAUAAUCAUGACAUACAACGAAAAAAAGAAAGAAACAGAGCAAAUGGAAGUGAUACAUCCAGUUAGGGAUGUUUAAUCUAAAAUAGCAGCUAGCCAAGAGAACACUUGGCAAGGAAGAUAAUAAUGCCUGAGAUACGCAUGUGGGUGCUGGGCCAGAAUUACUUCAUAUUCAACUGUAUGAAAUAUUUUACUAUUUCCUUUAGGUCGGUGAGGCUUUGAAAAGCCAUCCUAGCAGUCCAGGUACCUAUGCUGUUUCAAUACAGUGUCAGAAUAGAUGGCUGACAAAGAGCUGACGUGGGCAUCAACACCGCAUUUUCACAUAGAAAGAGUGAUGAAAAGAAUACAUGGAAGAAUUUCUCCACCUUACCUCUGUCACCUGAACUCCUACUUGGGUGCUAUUACAUGUUUUCACCAUACAACCUAUAAUUAGACCAUAUCAUCCAAAAAUCCUUUACGAUUUCUAUUACAGUUAAUACUGCUCCGAUUUAUUUUCUCCACAUCUGCUGACAGAUUUCCUGCCUUUUUACAUCUUGGUCAACCUAUCCCUCAUGUCAUGAUCAACUCCAUCAAAAGAAAAAAAAAAGAAGGAUGGUUUUCAAACGUGACUCCCGUCGGAGGGGAACAGGGAGCACACCAGAUGUGCAAACCAGACCCUGCACUCAGGGAAGUCAUACCCAGGCCAAAUAUUCCAGAGUUGUCCUCAUUAUUCAAGGCGCACCAAAAUAACAACAAAUAUCCCAAACAAUGGAGCUGUCACGAAGCAGAGAGGCUGGUAUCUUCAUGGUGGCCCAUGGGUGUGGAACAUACUGUGAAGAAAGAUUAAAACAAAUCUGUUCUCUUCUGGAGAAAAAAAUUUGGAACCCGUUCCUUUGCCAGUUCAAAUAACAAUAAUAGCUCAAGGGAAAAGACACAAAAGAAAGCGGAGGAGAAAAGGAAACUCAUCUGCAGAAGAGAGAAAAAUAUACUGCAGUAUACAAUACUGAAAGAAC
ensembl:lncRNA